rnacentral:rRNA from 1 species
AUUGAACGCUGGCGGCAGGCCUAACACAUGCAAGUCGAGCGGAUGAAGGGAGCUUGCUCCUGGAUUCAGCGGCGGACGGGUGAGUAAUGCCUAGGAAUCUGCCUGGUAGUGGGGGAUAACGUCCGGAAACGGGCGCUAAUACCGCAUACGUCCUGAGGGAGAAAGUGGGGGAUCUUCGGACCUCACGCUAUCAGAUGAGCCUAGGUCGGAUUAGCUAGUUGGUGGGGUAAAGGCCUACCAAGGCGACGAUCCGUAACUGGUCUGAGAGGAUGAUCAGUCACACUGGAACCAAGACACGUGACAGACGCCUACAGGACGGAGCAGGGGUGAAUAUAGGGCAAGGGGGGAGAGUCUGAUCCAGCCAUGCCGACUGGGUGAAGAAGGUUUUCGGAUUGAAAAGCAGUGUGCGGUGGGAGGAGGGGAAAGAAGUGAUUCCCUUGCUUUAUUGACGUAACCAAAAGACUAAACCCCAGUCAACUCCAUCACAGCGGCCGAGAAAACAGAACGAACAGCACACGUCUGACC